GCCAAGCAUUGACACAGCAAAGGCUUACAACAACGGAUCCAACAAAUGCGGGUUAUGCCUCUGUAAAAGGCUAGCCAUCUUGAAACGACGAAACGCACGCCUUUUGAACACACGAGACGAACUUAUCUCCAAGUGUAGAUAUGAAUUGAAAACAAAUUUUACAUACAAAAUUAUAAGAACGAGAUAACAUAAAUAAUUUGCUCGAGAGGUUUUAACAACUAUACGCAUCGGAUUUAAGUAGGUUUUGAAUUAAUUUACUAAGUUUUAAAUUUUAAAUCAGUUUUAGUUGAACACUCGGACAGGUUCCAAUAGGUUUUGUUUAGAUUAAUUUUAUGUAAUUAGCACAGUAGCUUGGUAUAUAAAGCUCGUGUGCACCAUAAUCCAUUGCUGUCUGACGAUCGGUAAUACGUGAAACUUAAGUAGCAGCACAUUAACAUUUUUUAAUUUUUUUGUUUUUAUUUUUUUCAUUUUGAACAAUAUAUUAAGCUCUGCGAAU